GGGGGUGCGUGGCUUCGAUCUCGAGGAUCGAGGUGGGAGAAGCGAGCCGACGUCGCCGGAACGUCGUGAAAGAGCCGGCAAAAACCAAUACACGCCAAUAACCAAAUGGCAAUGGCUGCCUGAGAGAUCAGGUUGCCCGCCCGCAUCGGAUUCGUCAUUCGUCCGCGCGAGGCGUCAUCCAGGAUGGCUCACCGAUAGGUAAGGCCUCGGGGCCGAUCGGGACAUCGAAACGAGGCUGGCCCGCCGACAGGAUGCCGUUGACUUGUCGGUGGGUGACAUCUCCCAACGGCUGCGCUCGGAGAAGUCCCACUAACAGCUCGGGAGACGCGGGUUCGACUCCCGCCACCUCCACGA
rnacentral:tmRNA from 1 species